rnacentral:rRNA from 1 species
UACAGAGGGUGCGAGCGUUAAUCGGAAUUACUGGGCGUAAAGCGCGCGUAGGCGGCUUUGCAAGUCGAGUGUGAAAUCCCCAGGCUUAACCUGGGAACUGCAUUCGAGACUGCAUGGCUAGAGUAUGGGAGAGGGAAGUGGGAUUUCAGGUGUAGCGGUGAAAUGCGUAGAUAUCUGAAGGAACAUCAGUGGCGAAAGCGACUUCCUGGACCAAUACUGACGCUCAUGUGCGAAAGCGUGGGGAGCAAACAGG